UUGCCUCGACUUCACGUCCACAGGAACACAUGGAGUAUUAUGGUUUGGCGGAUAAGGGAUCGAAUGUCGCACGCCCGCCACGAAACCGGGGCACUACGAACGCCAGCUCGCUCGUUCUCAUGAAGCCACUCAUCGUCGUCCAGCGCCGCCCAGCGCAUGCUUAGCUAUCAUUGCAAGCUCUCUGCUCGGCCCCACUCGUCUCCCGGAGGAGGAUCUCUCGAUUCCCUCCCACCUUGGCUUCCCUUCUUUCCUCCCCCCCCACCGUCUUUACCGUCUCGGAAAGAGACCGCCAUCACACCGCCUUAUUCCUUACAGACUCUUCUUUGCCUCCUCCAUAAAGCGGACGCUUGUUCCUCCGUCUCCUUCGCUGCAGAAGGAGCACGACCCGGAGGAGGGUUUUCGGAGCGAUGGAUCCGAUCCGCUGCCCGGAGAAUUCCUUCGCCUACGACUCCACGCUGUGCGCGUGCAACCCCGGGUACUACAGGGACCGGAGCGGCGGCUGCAGGUUGUUCGAGGCGGGAGACGGCGACUGGACGGUGGGGACCAGGGCGGGACCGGCCGGGCGGCCCUUCCUCGUCACGGUGCUGCCGCUGGAGUCGCUGGAGCGGAUGGUGCGGUCUGAGAACGCGCUGCUGAGGGCGGUGCUGGUGGUGACGCUUGUCUGGCUGGCCUUCUGCGUCGCGGUCCGGCUCGGGAGAAUCGACGGCGGGCGGACCGUGUGGUUUCGGAUCAGGUGGUCGGUUGCUCAGCUGGACUUGUUCGCCACCAACCAUGACCGGGAAGGGAUCGGAGGCUCCGCCUCAUCCUCGUCGUCGUGCCACGCGCGAUCCGGGCUAUCAUUCGACUCCGUCGAGUAUGGACUUGCUCCGGCGCGCGGUGGUGGAUCUGCGUCGGCCCACACGGCGCGGGAUGAUAACAAGGUUGUGAGAAAGAGAAAAUCCGAGCUGGGUGGGACAUUGUCUGUAGUGAGCUGGAUUUUGUUCAUCGGUCUUUUAUCUGCGUUGCUUUAUCAACUUAUCACAAGAAGAAGCAUUGAGGUUCACAGAGUCAGAACAAGCAAUGCUACGGAUCUGAAAUCAUUCAUCAGUUUUGAAUUUAAUAUAACUACAGUUUCUAGCAUGAGUUGUUCACAUAUGCGAGGCCUCGAUAAAUUGGUGAUUGGGACUCCAGGUUUUAUCGACUGCAAAGUUUUCCCUUUAUCAAAUUAUGCAAACUAUUCUUGUUACAACACAACCUGGGGACCCACUGUAUCGCUAAAAUGCAACAAUUGUCAGAUUCCAACUGGUGACCACUAUAUUUCAUGGCAGUUUGUUGACCUUCCUGAUGAUCCUGCAGCUGCUGUUGGUUUUCAGUUCAAUCUUUCAGCCAAAGCCCAUAAUGAUAACGGACAUGUGAGCUAUGUCAGUGGCACACUAAAUUCAGGGAGCUAUUUGCACAAUAGGGCAGUAACUUUUCGAGGGCCAGACCUCAAUAUCAUGAAGAUUCAUUUGUUCCCUCAGAAAUUUGACUAUCUAAAAGAUAAUCUGUGGUUGAUUCAGCCUUUGGUUCAUGAUUUUCUUCCUGGUUCAUUUUUUUAUGAGAUCGACAAGCUUCGAGCCUCUCUUCGAAGUUCCAAAGAUGGACUAGUAAAUACUACAUUAUGCAUCAGCUAUCUCUCCGAUUACAUUGUGGAGAUUGACAAAGAAAACAUAUUAGGGAUUGUGGCUUUUCUUUCGGAUGUUGGUGGCCUUUAUACCAUUACCCUUGCAAUUUCUUUGUAUUUUUUACGUCAGUGUGAAUCCAGAAUCAAGAAGCUGCAGAUGGAUGAUACUGAGAUGCGGGAUAUUAGAAGACGCAGGCGUGCUCAGCAGCACUGGGAUAAGUUGAGGAUAUAUGUCAGGUACACAUGGGGACAUAGUAACUUGAAUAUGAGAAGCAGAACAAAGCCAGUUAGAAAUUCCAUCAUAGGUAUGUUAUCUGGAAUUGGAUCUCUCCAUAUAAGGAAGCAAAUAUGUAGGAUGGAUUCUACAUGUCCACAGAAGACAUAUAAAAGCUCUAAUCAGAUGAAUGUUUUUCCAGAGUCUAUCCUGAUCGGAAGCACAAGUCAAGAUUAGCAGGCAGUUUAAGAAAUUUUGUUUAAACAUUUCCAUGUUCAACUGAUGAGCCUGUUAAGUAUGAAUUUCAUUAUGUUGAUGUGGAAGUUGAUCUUUGACUUCUUUAAAGCAUUCUUGAGUAGUUAGACUCUGUUCCAAGUGUCUUUCAGAUUGUUUGUUUAUUUUGAGGUCUUUAAGCAUUCUUUAGUUUGAGGUUUUUAUCUUUGUUUGUUGCAGCCUUUAAGGCAGGUCAAACUAAAACCAUACAAAUCCAGUAGCAUGACGAAUUGCAUGUUUUGUUUUGUGGUUUCUAUCAAAAGACCUAGACUAACAAUCAUUAAUUACAUCGGAGGAUGCCUUGAAAAGUCUUGUUUAAUAUGAUAUCCUGUUGUUUCUGGUUGAUACUGUUGAUGGUAAUACAUUCAUGAAAGAUGUUACCUUAUUGCCUGGUAGUUUAGUUUCAUCACCUUUGACUUGCAAUUACGUUAUUAGUUUUUCUUAGGUGUAAAGUCUCUUCUUGUCGUGUUGUUUGCAUAGGACCCUAAAGUAUAGUCUCACAUCAGAAGUUGAUAAUGAUUUGAAUUGGCUUGUAAGAGCUCGAUGGACAUACUACUAUUAACCUGGAUUUAGACAUUUUGAGUUAGUGAUUCAUGCCUAUCAAGUUAGUAGAUUAGUUAUCUUAUCGAACCAGAUCAUGACAGGCUGACUAUGAGAGUCCAGUGUCUGGCUUUUGCCCGUUGCUUUCCAGGUGAUCAACUCAAGCUUUUAGAGGUGCUUUUGGUGCCUUGUGAUUCGACUCAGUUUCUCUUCAGGUGAACUCCAAGUUAGAGAUGGUUUAUGGACUUGAUUGUGUUGUCAGUGUUGAUGUCAUUGGUUGUGAGGUUGUGAAGAGUGAUCAGCCUGCCAUUGCUUCUCUAACAAUCACUUAGGGCCCCUUGGGUUCAUCUCUGGAAGACUUAGCCAGAUGGAUUGGUUCAAGUUGUGUGGAAGCUUAAUCCUCCUUAGUGAUCUGGAUAUAGGAAUUGAGGUUUUGGUGGGGUGUGUUCAUUAGAGUUAGCAAUCUGAUCCGGUCCCUUGUCCUUGGACCUACAAAAGAUAGAAUCUUGACCAUAUAUUGCUGACUUGCUAUCCUGAUCAUUGUGGCUGUCAACAGGCAGGACAUGUGGUUUCAGUUGUUGGUUAUAUUUCUAAUCUUGUGGUCCUUGACCCAAAUGCAAUAUUUUUGGGUAACCUAAGCCUGUAAUGAAUCAUGAUAGGUCCAAGACAACAAACUUAUCAUAUCCAUGGAAACUUUGAAUGAAGUGCUUAAUAUGAUUAUCAUGACCUCAUUUUUAUGAUUUUUGUUGCUUAAAAAAAUAUGCUUAGAAUGAUUCUUGAGCAAUACCUGCUACUUGUAGUGAUUCACUAGCUGCUAAAUAACGUCAGUAUGUAUUCUUUUGGAAUUUAAAUUAAUGCAUAUAGUGACUGGUAGUUACUAUGUACUGUAAUCCAUUUCUUUCAUACUGCAGCAGCCAUUGGCAUGUUGUGGCAGUCAAUGUCUUCAUCAGAGUGAUAGUCUCAAAUUUGUUGUUCGCCUAAGAAGCACAGCACUCUUACAUCAUCGAAUUAUGGUGUCAUUGCUCAACGAAAGCCUCAAAGAGAGAAAAGAAAAAAAUUAUGGUGGGGCUGUCUAGUUGACAUGAACAUAUAUUACUGUUUUGUUCUGAUGAGAAUAUUCCCUCAUUCUUUGAAGAUCAAAAGACUAGUGUGUUGUCAUCUGGAGAAUAAUAAAGAAUUCUGAUCUCAAGAUACUCAUGCCACGUAGUCAAACAUUUUGCUUAGUUGGCUAACUACUUCGAUGGUGGAUCUUGAGGCAUCUUGUGUGAUGACAACUUGCUCAGUUGGCAACCGAUGAAGGCAGGAUUUGAUCCCAAGGAUCCGGUAAGAUCUUUACCAGGUAAGCAAAAUUGUUUUAAGUUUCAUUUGUGUUUUAUUUAUGUAUAUGCUCCUAAUAUGAGGGCUUUGGAUUAUUGUUUAUGGAUUUUGCUGGCUCACAUUAGAUUAAUAGCCUUUUGUUUCCAGCUAUGAUAGAUACUGACAUUCUUAUUCAAAUAAAAAUUCAUAUGAAAAAAUUGUGAAUUAUAAACAAGAAAAAAAAAACAUUUCUUCA